ACCUCACCUUUUCUGCUGUCCCCAGCAUUACUCCCACCAUUUUACUGGUCACCAGUGAUACGUGAGCCUGGCCAGAUUCAUGGAGGGGACACGGGGCAUGCCCCACCUCCAGACAGAGGAAUGAGAAGACCACACUGGAGGUGCACACGUGGGCCCAAGGAAACACAGGAGGCCCUGCCAAGUCACGGAGGCCCGGGCACGGCAGGGGGUGGCAGCCUCCCCCCUGCACACGUCACCCUUCUAGGAAGUGAAACGGCGUCUGAGUCAGAUUCCAUCUGUCUGCACCUGCCAAGCUUUGGAGUUUGUGCCCACACCCAUAUCAAAGAUCCCUGAGCCUCAGGAAGUCCUGGGGUGACCGGAAGGCUCCCCCAACCCCUCUCCUCUUUCGUGAAUGACCCAAAGGGGUUAGAUCAAUGGGGCCUGUGCUCGGGUAAUUCUGAAAGGAGCAGAAGAGGCAGAAAGCGAGCUGCCCUAGGCAUGAACGCAUGGUAACUGCUUCUCCUCCUGUGCCACUUCAGAGAACAGAGGUGCCCCAGUUAGAUCUGCAUUGGAAACAUUGACUUAUCCCUACUUUUUAAAAAGUCCCUUCUUUGUAAGUAGAAAGGAAGCCACCUCCUCAAUACAGGAACCCAAACAGAAGUGGGUGAUCUGAUUUGGGGGAACUGGCUCUCACUUCCUCGGGUCCUUUCCUCCUGCUGACGUGAGCCGUGACCCUCUGCUCAGGGUCACCGUCCACUGGGAGGCUGCCCAGGCCACGAAGCUGUCAGCCCUGGUCGCAUGGGUGGGCUGCUGGUCUGCCCGGUGGGAGACUGCAGCUGGGGGCUGCUGGGCUGGGUUUGAGAGGGAUGUUAAGACAGCCUGGCUGGGCAGGAGAGCUGCAAACACCUCACCUUCCAGAACUCGGCCCGAGGGCACAUUGCUUCUCCCAGAAUCGGCAGCUAGGGUUUGAUAGGCAGCUGCCAGGAGUGUUCUGGCAAGAUGGGCAGGGGCUUCUGGUGUGGAGCUAACGGUCCGCUGAGCUCCCCAAAGGGCGACCUGAUUAACCUUGACCCCAGCAGCCCACAUGUCAGGGUCUCGGAAGCGCUGCUUGUCGCCUGCACUCGCGUUUGUGCCGGACAUUCUGUUCGGCCCCUUUCUUAUUUCAGUAAACGCAGUUCCAGAGGCAGUGUUCUUCCUCCGCGGGGAAUGAGCGCCACCUGCCCUAACCUGGGGUCUUUCGACUUGGGCACUGCUGCCUUCGGGGCUGCGUCGUCCUCUGCAGCGGCUGCGCACUGCAGGGCGUUGAGCAGCGUCCCUGGCCGCCACCUGCUAGACGCAAGAGGCACCCACCCCCAGUGGUGAAGGCAAACAUGUCUCCAGAUAUUGCCUAAUGUCCCCUGGUGGGGGGCAAAACCCCCAGGUGAGAACCUCAGCCAUAGACGGACGGCAGCACAGAGAAACAAAUACAGUGACGUUACGGUUACGUUCCUCCUUGCCAAGGACACUGGACAUUUUCUUGCAAGUGGAGCAGGCCUCCUUGGUGACUCAGAGGUUAGUGGCCAGGGCAGGGACUCCUAAGAUGAGGACCCCUGGGUCCCGCCCACCGGGAACCAAGACUCAAUCCACUCAGUGGGACUAGGUGGGCUGGAGGUGGGUGGGCUGGCUCACAGGAAGUCUAAUGUUGUAAUGGUCACCUGUGGAGAUACACCCAUGAGCCGUGGCCUUUGUCUAAAGUGAGGACAUAAACUCAAAUGCCUGCAGGGCCCAGGCAAGAGCCGGGAGUGAGUGACAAGGGUUUAGGGUCACAGGGAGGGGUGGAGAGUGCCCUGCUGGAGGAGCCGUUUGCAAAAUCAAAACAGCCACUACAUUUUAAACACUGAGCAAGCCGAACAGAGCUCCCCUGGAGCUUGCCUGGGGGCCCAUUUGCAACCCUUCAAAGCUGUGUGGUCUUUUCUGCGCACCUGCUCCGGGCCAGUGCUGUGUGGAAUGCUGGGAAACAGCAGGCCAGGCCUCUGUCUUGAAGGAGCUGACGUUCUGGUGAGGGAGACAGAUUUAACGAAUGAAGAUGAAUUCCAGAUGAUCUUAAGGGCCUUGUAAGGAGCUGUUAGGAUGACAAGAUAGGGUAAAUCAGGGACACCUCUAGGAGGUAGUGUCUGGGCUGACACCAGAAGUGGGGUGGUGGAGAGUCAGUCGUGGGCGCGGUGCUUUCUAAGCAAGGGAAAAGGCACAUGAAAAGGCCCUGUGGUAGGAACGAGCAGGGUCCAUGUGAAGAUCAGAGUAAAGACCAGCAUGGCAGGAGCAGGAGUGGCCGCCUGGUAUAGGCGAGGCUGCACGUCACCUGCCCUCAGCCCACACUUUCCUGGUAGGCCACACCUGCCACCCUUCCUGGGCGUUUAGGGGAAACAGGAAUCAGAUACAGUUCUUCCCACCUCUGUUCUUUGUUCUUUUGUCUCGGCUAUGGACAAAAGCUUCCCUGGCAGCGAGCUACAGAGUUAUUUCUGCAAAAGGCCUUUGGCCAAAAGCAAUAAAGUCGGACCUCAACAGAGUCAUUAUUCACGCCUAAUUGUGGGCUGGUUCUCGGUGUAGGCAGCCGUGGCCAGGGCUGGCGAUUCCAGUCCCACCCCCUCCCAUGUGUUAACCCCACCCAUUCUCAGCACCGUUUACCCCCACAGACCCUGUAUUUAGGUUUUCAGAGAUUGCAGUCUCUCGCAUACACAUAAAAGNNNNNNNNNNNNNNNNNNNNNNNNNNNNNNNNNNNNNNNNNNNNNNNNNNNNNNNNNNNNNNNNNNNNNNNNNNNNNNNNNNNNNNNNNNNNNNNNNNNCCUGUAUUUAGGUUUUCAGAGAUUGCAGUCUCUCGCAUACACAUAAAAGGGGGGAAAGGCUAUUUUGACUGCCCGGUAUUUAUAAUCCAGUUAUUUCUCCCCUUUCACCCAAUCCGCAGCCGUGUGUACCCUGCCCACUCAUCACGCCCUGCUAUUAGCAGAUGCGUGUCUCAUUAGCUCACCUUGGAAACAGCCUGAAGCUUACAAUCAUUUGAGAAGCUUGUACUCACAGGCGGGGGAGGGCGUCUGAAGCAACUUUUACCAAAUACCCCGCUAAAUUUAGAGAUGGAAGUCAGGGAGAAUGUCGAAUGACAGAUCUGUUUCCAACCCUGGCGUGCUGUGCUGUCUAAUUAGCAGCAGCUGGAAAUAGCCUGCCACAGGGGAGGAGCGCCUGGGUCAGAGGUGUUCUUGGAGCUCGGAUCGGUCUUUGGGGGACUCACUGGGUGUCACCAGGUGUACUGGGUGUCCAGGCGCACAAGUGGCUGGAAGAAAGGGACUGGGGUCCGGGCUCCUGGUGUCCACGGUGGGGAGGCAAGAGCCCACCCACUGGGCUGGCUGGUCCAUCACCACCGAGCACGCUCUCCUUUCCAAGGGCUACCUUCAAUCAGCCCCAUCUUUGGGGUGAGGAUGCUGAGCAUGGCCGGGAUUCGGGAGCUAGUUUUGGCCCACAUAAUGAAGGCAGGGCUCCCAAACCCCUAGCAGUGCCUGAAAUAUGGUGCCCCUGCCUAGAACAGCAUCACACAGACUUGGGCAUACACUUAUACCAGACUUGAAAAAUAUUCAUCCAUCCAUCCUCCAUCCGUUCAUUCUCCAAUGCUAACUGCUCGUCCUGGGGCAGAGCCCCUUAUUCAGGGGCUGUGCAGAGGUUUCUAAUUCCUCCUUUCUGGCCAGCAUCUGGUCCCCUUCUCUUGACAACAGCACCCCAAUUUCCUUUAGAGGAUUCUCUCUCUCUCCUGCUAAGAUGCUCCACCCUCUCCUGCCAUGUCACCAAAGGGUGAUCACAUGACGAAAGCUGGCAGUCAGACUCUCUCACUGGGCCCCUGACCCUCAAAUGGAACGUUAAGAACAGAAAAAGCAGGGGGGGCAUUUAUCUCAUUGGAACCCCUCCUCCACAAGGCUGACAGCCACACNNNNNNNNNNNNNNNNNNNNNNNNNNNNNNNNNNNNNNNNNNNNNNNNNNNNNNNNNNNNNNNNNNNNNNNNNNNNNNNNNNNNNNNNNNNNNNNNNNNUGGAACCCCUCCUCCACAAGGCUGACAGCCACACCUGCCCCUAGACCCCUAGACCUUCUGAAGCAGAAGCCUUAAGAAGGCCUGGCAGC
ensembl:lncRNA